rnacentral:rRNA from 1 species
GACGUAGGGCGCAAGCGUUGUCCGGAUUUAUUGGGCGUAAAGAGCUCGUAGGCGGCUUGUUGCGUCGGCUGUGAAAACCCGCGGCUUAACUGCGGGCUUGCAGCCGAUACGGGCGGGCUGGAGUUCGGUAGGGGAGACUGGAAUUCCUGGUGUAGCGGUGAAAUGCGCAGAUAUCAGGAGGAACACCUGAGGCGAAGGCGGGCUACUGGGCUGAUACUGACGCUGAUGCGCGAAAGCCAGGGGAGCGAACGGG